rnacentral:rRNA from 1 species
UGCGUAGGUGGUCUUGUAAGUCAGAAGUGAAAGGCUACGGCUUCACCGUAGUAAGCUUUUGAAACUGCAGGACUUGAGUGCAGGAGAGGAAAGUGGAAUUCCUAGUGUAGCGGUGAAAUGCGUAGAUAUUAGGAGGAACACCAGUGGCGAAGGCGACUUUCUGGACUGUUACUGACACUGAGGCACGAAAGCGUGGGGAGCGAACA